rnacentral:lncRNA from 1 species
CCAAGUUUAGAAUCUGCAAGGGUUCUAACACCUGAUAUCAGAGCAGCGUUCUUGGCAUCUCGCUGCCCUUCCACUGCCAUCCAUCAGCCCUCCACAACCAUCCAAAGCAAUUCCCACAAUUGCUUAAAAGAUCGUCGCCGAAUUCCGCUAUCAUCUCCACCACCGCGGAUCAUCCUUUGAUCUCCCCGUGAAUUGCAACAGGUUCUGGUUUCCUACCUUACUGCUGCUGCAAUUUAGUUAUCCUUAUUCAAAAAUCCAAAAUAAAAAAUUGUUCCUAUAUUGCUGCAUAAACCUUUCGUCACAAAGUUUUCAUCUCUACGACGAAAGAUACAUUGCAGAAUUCCAACCG